rnacentral:rRNA from 1 species
AGUUUGAUCCUGGCUCAGGACGAACGCUGGCGGCGUGCCUAAUACAUGCAAGUCGAACGAGAAACUUCGGUUUCGAGUGGCGAACGGGUGAGUAACACGUGGGCAACCUGCCCUCAAGCCUGGGAUAACUCCGGGAAACCGGGGCUAACACCAGAUAAUCUUUUCCUUCGCAUGAAGGAAAAGUAAAAGUUUACACUUGAGGAUGGGCCCGCGGUGCAUUAGCUAGUUGGUGGGGUAAAGGCCUACCAAGGCGACGAUGCAUAGCCGACCUGAGAGGGUGACCGGCCACACUGGGACUGAGACACGGCCCAGACUCCUACGGGAGGCAGCAGUAGGGAAUUUUCCGCAAUGGGCGCAAGCCUGACGGAGCAACGCCGCGUGAGUGAAGACGGUCUUCGGAUUGUAAAGCUCUGUUCUUGGGGAAGAAACAAAUGACGGUACCCAAGCAGAAAGCCCCGGCUAACUACGUGCCAGCAGCCGCGGUAAUACGUAGGGGGCAAGCGUUGUCCGGAAUUAUUGGGCGUAAAGCGCGCGCAGGUGGUGGAUUAAGUUGUGGGUAAAAGGCAUUGGCUCAACCAAUGUAAGCCUGCAAAACUGGUUCACUUGAGUGCAGGAGAGGAGAGUGGAAUUCCCGGUGUAGCGGUGGAAUGCGUAGAUAUCGGGAGGAACACCAGUGGCGAAGGCGACUCUCUGGCCUGUAACUGACACUGAGGCGCGAAAGCGUGGGGAGCGAACAGGAUUAGAUACCCUGGUAGUCCACGCCGUAAACGAUGAGUGCUAGGUGUUGGGGGCAUCACGUCCUCAGUGCCGAAGGAAACCCAUUAAGCACUCCGCCUGGGGAGUACGGCCGCAAGGCUGAAACUCAAAGGAAUUGACGG